UACGGAGGGGACUAGCGUUGUUCGGAAUUACUGGGCGUAAAGCGCACGUAGGCGGAUUUGUAAGUCAGGGGUGAAAUCCCGAGGCUCAACCUCGGAACUGCCUUUGAUACUGCAAAUCUCGAGUCCGGAAGAGGUGAGUGGAAUUCCUAGUGUAGAGGUGAAAUUCGUAGAUAUUAGGAAGAACACCAGUGGCGAAGGCGGCUCACUGGUCCGGUACUGACGCUGAGACACGAAAGCGUGGGGAGCAAACAGG
rnacentral:rRNA from 1 species